rfam:Xenopus tropicalis strain Nigerian Chr03_contig_2710, whole genome shotgun sequence.
CAUGUGCUCUCUGCCAGCUCAAGGUGUAGUACAGAAAAACCUUGGCUGUAUUCUGCAGGGGUCCUGG